GAUGAACGCUGGCGGCGUGCCUAAUACAUGCAAGUCGAGCGAACAGACGAGGAGCUUGCUCCUCUGACGUUAGCGGCGGACGGGUGAGUAACACGUGGAUAACCUACCUAUAAGACUGGGAUAACUUCGGGAAACCGGAGCUAAUACCGGAUAAUAUAUUGAACCGCAUGGUUCAAUAGUGAAAGACGGUUUUGCUGUCACUUAUAGAUGGAUCCGCGCCGCAUUAGCUAGUUGGUAAGGUAACGGCUUACCAAGGCAACGAUGCGUAGCCGACCUGAGAGGGGGAUCGGCCACACGGGAACUGAGACACGGACCAGACUCCUACGGGAGGCAGCAGUAGGGAAUCGUCCGCAAUGGGCGAAAGCCUGACGGAGCAACGCCGCGCGAGUGAUGAAGGUCUUCGGAUCGUAAAACUCUGUUAUUAGGGAAGAACAAAUGUGUAAGUAACUAUGCACGUCUUGACGGUACCUAAUCAGAAAGCCACGGCUAACUACGUG
rnacentral:rRNA from 1 species